AAAUCUCCUUCCUUCCACAUAAUCUCUGCAAAUUCGUCAGCAAAUUUUCGGGUACUAAUAGAACAACGAGAAACAAAUUUAUUCUAUACUCGAUAAGUACCAAUAAUACGAGCUGAAGAUGGUGCAAGAAAUGUGGAAUGGGCCUCCUGGUUUCAGACCAACAAAAUCGGCGCCAUCUUCACCGGCUAAACCUCUUGGAAUUUCAAAGAUUCGUUCGGAAUCCUUUCAUAUUAUUCCCAAAGUACCUGUUGGUGACACCCCUUAUGUCAGAGCCAAAAAUGUCCAAAGAUGUGGGAGAUUGGGUGAUCAAACAACAUUGUUGAGGCACAAGUUGUACUUGAUUCAACAAGGCAUGGCUUUCUGUGGAGCAAGAAGCAACUAGAUUAUUGGGAAAUUUAGGGUGGGCAUUGAUGCAACAAAACAACUACAUUGAAGCUGAGGAUGCUUAUAGGAGAGCACUAGUGAUUGCACCAGACAAUAACAAGAUGUGCAAUUUAGGCAUAUGUUUGAUGAAACAAGGAAGAGUUAAUGAGGCAAAAGAUACACUUAGGAGGGUGAAACCAGCAGUGGCAGACGGGCCGAGAGGCGUGGAUUCGCACCUCAAGGCCUACGAGAGAGCACAACAUAUGCUCCGCGACCUCGAGUCAGUGCUAUUGAAUAAUAAAGGUGGCACUAUGCUUGAACAAAGCAAGCUUUUUGAUGCAUUCUUGGGCUCUUCUCUCAGCCUUGCAAAGAACAUAACACAUUUACAAACACCAACUCAUCCAAAUAUGCUGAUGAGAACAUGAAUUCUAACAUUAUACCAAACCACAAAGAGUAUGCAACCAACAGUUUCACGCGAAAACUUAUUAAACACGCGUGUUCCACCAUUUUAUACAUCCAAGAUUGUAAAUGAGCCGGCGAGUACUGUGUUGCCAGAAAAUCUUAAGAGAACAAGGUCAGGAAAUGCAGCUCACCCCAUGAGAAUGACUAAAGAGUCCAAAGGGACAGUCAUAGAACAAGAAAAUAUGACGCGAAAGAAAGCAGCCAAUUUCGAAGGAGAAAAUAGAGGAUAGAUGGGCAGUGUUGUUGCCAGAUAGCAAGGAUUUUGAGCAAGCGAUAAUUGCUGCUGCUUUGAGUUCAAGUGAUGAAAUAUUGAAGCCAGAAGGAGGAGGAAGCAAAGAUACUGGAAUUCUUCCAAGGAAAAUUGACAAAAGAUUGAAAGUUUUCCGAGAUAUUACCUUAUCUUUGAGUCCAAGAGCCUAACACUAUUGACUUUUUAACUUCUUUUAAUCUAAUUUUCAACUGUUAAGUUAUCAUAAUUCAUUCUUAGGUUGGAGAUAAACUUCUUCUCCUUUACUCCUGCAUAUCCUCAAGUAGGAGAAUAGUAUGCAGAUUGCAAGAGAUUUUUCAAAUAAAUAUUUUCUGUUCUCUUUUAGGUUUCUGUUUUACUGAGGAUAGUGUCUUGGGCUUUCCAAGCAAGAAAUACAGAAUGUUAACAAUUAAUAUGAAGCA